AUUGAACGCUGGCGGCAGGCCUAACACAUGCAAGUCGAGCGGCAGCACGGGUACUUGUACCUGGUGGCGAGCGGCGGACGGGUGAGUAAUGCCUAGGAAUCUGCCUGGUAGUGGGGGAUAACGCUCGGAAACGGACGCUAAUACCGCAUACGUCCUACGGGAGAAAGCAGGGGACCUUCGGGCCUUGCGCUAUCAGAUGAGCCUAGGUCGGAUUAGCUAGUUGGUGAGGUAAUGGCUCACCAAGGCUACGAUCCGUAACUGGUCUGAGAGGAUGAUCAGUCACACUGGAACUGAGACACGGUCCAGACUCCUACGGGAGGCAGCAGUGGGGAAUAUUGGACAAUGGGCGAAAGCCUGAUCCAGCCAUGCCGCGUGUGUGAAGAAGGUCUUCGGAUUGUAAAGCACUUUAAGUUGGGAGGAAGGGCAUUUACCUAAUACGUAAGUGU
rnacentral:rRNA from 1 species